GACUGUAAACAAAUAUGAAGAAGUUGAGCAAGUGUUGCAAAAUUGUCAUAUUAUUCUAGCGACCAAGCAGAAGACGAACAAAUAUCAGAUGAUCUUUUUGCAGUGUACUUUCAGCAGCAAGAAUGAACUAGAAACAUCAACACCUUAAACUUCUUAGAUAGACAACAUUCUAGCACAAGCAUAGUUUCACAUACACUGCCAGGAAGACAGACAGAGCUAGUACAUUGGGUCCAUAACUCCAUUUCACUAAGCAACCUUGCAAAUGCUGCUGGAAUUGCUUCUGGAAUUCAAAUGAGACUCCAUCCUAUCUCACUGAGCAACCUUGCAAAUGUCCUCAUACUCAAUGGCCUUGAGAACUUUCCCAU
rnacentral:lncRNA from 1 species